rnacentral:rRNA from 1 species
UACGGAGGAUCCGAGCGUUAUCCGGAUUUAUUGGGUUUAAAGGGUGCGUAGGCGGCCUAUUAAGUCAGGGGUGAAAUACGGUGGCUCAACCAUCGCAGUGCCUUUGAUACUGAUGGGCUUGAAUCCAUUUGAAGUGGGCGGAAUAAGACAAGUAGCGGUGAAAUGCAUAGAUAUGUCUUAGAACUCCGAUUACGAGGGCAGCUCACUAAGCUGGUAUUGACGCUGAUGCACGAAAGCGUGGGGAUCGAACAGG